rnacentral:rRNA from 1 species
CAGUAGCCGCGGUAAUACGGAGGGAGCUAGCGUUAUUCGGAAUUACUGGGCGUAAAGCGCACGUAGGCGGCUUUGUAAGUAAGAGGUGAAAGCCCAGAGCUCAACUCUGGAAUUGCCUUUUAGACUGCAUCGCUUGAAUCAUGGAGAGGUCAGUGGAAUUCCGAGUGUAGAGGUGAAAUUCGUAGAUAUUCGGAAGAACACCUGUGGCGAAAGCGGCUCACUGGACCAUUUCUGACGCUGAUGCACGAAAGCUAGGGGAGCAAACAGGAUUAGAUACCCCUGUAGUCCCUGUCUCUUAUAC